GCACAAGCGGUGGAUGAUGUGGUUUAAUUCGAUGCAACGCGAAAAACCUUACCCACCUUUGACAUGGCAGGAAUCCCGAAGAGAUUUGGGAGUGCUCGAAAGAGAACCUGCACACAGGUGCUGCAUGGCCGUCGUCAGCUCGUGUCGUGAGAUGUUGGGUUAAGUCCCGCAACGAGCGCAACCCUUGCCAUUAGUUGCUACGAAAGGGCACUCUAAUGGGACUGCCGGCGACAAACCGGAGGAAGGUGGGGAUGACGUCAAGUCCUCAUGGCCCUUAUAGGUGGGGCUACACACGUCAUACAAUGGCCGGUACAGAGGGUAGCCAACCCGCGAGGGGGAGCCAAUCCCACAAAGCCGGUCAUAGUCCGGAUCGCAGUCUGCAACUCGACUGCGUGAAGUCGGAAUCGCUAGUAAUCGCGGAUCAGCAUGUCGCGGUGAAUACGUUCCCGGGUCUU
rnacentral:rRNA from 1 species